GACGAACGCUGGCGGCGUGCCUAACACAUGCAAGUCAAGGGGAAAGUUAGACUUCGGUUUAGCGAGUAUACUGGCGGACGGGUGAGUAACGCGUAGGCAACCUGCCCUUGCGCGUGGGAUAACCCAGCGAAAGUUGGACUAAUACCACAUAAUGCAGCGGAUCCGCAUGGAUAUGUUGUUAAAGGGUGCCUUUCGGGGCAUUUGCGUAGGGAUGGGCCUGCGUUCCAUUAGUUAGUUGGUGAGGUAACGGCUCACCAAGGCGACGAUGGAUAGCUGGUUUGAGAGAGUGAUCAGCCACACUGGGACUGAGAUACGGCCCAGACUCCUACGGGAGGCAGCAGUGAGGAAUAUUGCGCAAUGGAGGAAACUCUGACGCAGCAACGCCGUGUGGGGGAUGAAGUUCUAUGGAGCGUAAACCCCUGUAAGUAGGGACGAAAGGUAGAUAAUCGAACAGGUUAUUUAUUUGACGGUACCUACAGAGUAAGCUCCGGCUA
rnacentral:rRNA from 1 species